ensembl:lncRNA
CUUCGUUUUAAAGUUUGAAUGGUGGCUCUAUGUCAAUGUAUGUGGAAGUAGAUACAGUUUAAAGAGGAGGAAUUUGAAUGAGAAUUUGAAGGGUCUCUCCAUUGAAAUACAUUAUAAAUUUUUGUUAAAUAAAGUUGAAUAAAAUUAAAAAUAUAAAUGUUAGAAAUGAGAAAAAUAGAAGCAGUCAUGUCCAAAAGAAUAGGAAUCUAACGGUGUUUGAAUGGUUUUUCUAAGUUGAACGGUUUUGAAGGAGAUAGAUUACAAAAAACGUACGGAAUACAGAAUAAUAAAUAAAAUAGAAUAAAGAUUAGAAGAACAAUACUGUGAAUGCUUUUCAAGCAUUCACACUAACUAGAAAGUGCAUUUUCUGAAGAAACUGCAGUGUGAAUGCUUGAAUCUGAAUGUAUGCACUGAAAUGAAUUAAUUGCUGAAUUUUGAGUUAAAAAUAUUGAAUGAGAUUAAAAAAAAACAAAAAAAACCCGAAUUUAACCUGAAAACAAAGGUGCUGAACUGCUAAAAGCUGAAGGUUACACAGAAGAAGGAGUUGGAAAAAAAACUGAAAAUGUUUUAAAUGUCAAUUAGAAAACCCUAAGAAAUGAGAAAAGAACAUUUAGAGUCAGAAAACAUCUGAAUGAAUAUCAAAAGGUCAUAUUCUUUGAAUCACUGAAUGACUCAAAUGUGAUCCCUCCACUUUGAUCCACACAGUUUAAAAAGUUUAAAUGCCUGAGCUUUGAAAGAUACGGUGUUGGAAAGAGAACAAUAAUGGCGACAAUUUGAGGGUAAAAUGAUGGCUGUAACACUGUGGACACAGCAGCAGUUGAAAGAGAAGUUCUUAAGAUGAAUCUUGGUACAGUGGCAGGCAGAGCUCGUUAAGCAGGCAGGUGUGAGCCUGGUUGCUAUAGUGACCGCACCCAAUGGCUCCAUACACACGUACACAGACAUGCGCCUCACUUUUGCUGCUUAAAAUGAACAGAAAAGUCAGGCCGAAACAAAUCGUUCCCAAAUGAAAAGUAAAAGUCGUAUUGACAAAAUUCUUUCACCGUGAGCGACAGCAGCUUCUAGUCUACUGAAUUCUCAGUUUUCAUGCCUGUGGAGUUUAUUAUAUGGACGUGGUGACAGUGGAAAGACACCAUGCUCUUCUGAUUUUCAAACGAACCUUCUGAGCCAUUUUAACAUUAGAGUCUAUGGAAGAGUUGGAGGGAGGAGGCUGUGCAUUGGUGACAUUUAUGAAAGAACCAUAACACCUAGUACAAUAGUAAACACAUUGGAUGAAAGAGGACAGCCAUGGCUACGUUUUGAGGGUAAAAUCAUACCUGUAGAGCAAACGCUGCGGACACAGCAGCAGUUUUAAAAAAGAUUUUAAGAUUAAUUUUUUUGCUCCUCUCACUCUAGCAGUUGAGCUGCCUCACUCUAGCCCCAACAUUCCGUCCC